GAUGAACGCUGGCGGCGUGCCUAAUACAUGCAAGUCGAGCGAAUGGAUUAAGAGCUUGCUCUUAUGAAGUUGGCGGCGGACGGGUGAGUAACACGUGGGUAACCUGCCCAUAAGACUGGGAUAACUCCGGGAAACCGGGGCUAAUACCGGAUAACAUUUUGAACCGCAUGGUUCGAAAUUGAAAGGCGGCUUCGGCUGUCACUUAUGGAUGGACCCGCGUCGCAUUAGCUAGUUGGUGAGGUAACGGCUCACCAAGGCAACGAUGCGUAGCCGACCUCAAGUGGUGAGCGGGCCCAGUGGGACGGGGACACGGCCCAGACUCCUACGGGAGGCAUCAGUAGGGAAUGUUCCUCAAUGGACAAAAGUCUGACGGAGAAACGCCGCGUGAGUGAUGAAGGCUUUCGGGUCGUAAAACUCUGUUGUUAGGGAAGAACAAGUGCUAGUUGAAUAAGCUGGCACCUUGACGGUACCUAACCAGAAAGCCACGGCUACCUACGUGCCAGCCGCCGCCGUAA
rnacentral:rRNA from 1 species